rnacentral:rRNA from 1 species
CGCUGAAAGCAUCUAAGCGGGAAGCCGGCUUCAAGAUGAGAUUUCCAUGACUUCGGUCGAGAGGCUCCCAGCUAGACUACUGGGUUGAUAGGCGGGAUGUGGAAGUGCGGACUAAAGACGCAUGGAGCUGACCCGUACUAAUAAGCCGAUAAAUUGAUAACA